rnacentral:misc_RNA from 1 species
AACGCAUAUUGCGCCCUUUGGUAUUCCGAAGGGCAUGCCUGUUCGAGCGUCAUUAUUAACCAUCAAGCCUGGGCUUGUCGUUGGACUCGUGGUCGUCAUGACCGGUCCGAAAGAUAAUGGACGGCGGUGAUUAGCCCCCGAUGCAACGAGCUUUUAAUAGCACGCAUUGAAGGGUUGGUCACCCUCGGCCUCACACUCCAUUUUCUCAGGUUGACCUCGGAUCAGGUAGGAAUACCCGCUGAACUUAA